rnacentral:lncRNA from 1 species
AACUCCGAUCAAAUGGCUGAAAUUGUAAGAAGCCUGUUGGAAGGAACGAUUGUCCAAAGAUGAGGUAUUCUCCGGACACUGACUACCCCAUUUCCCAGGAUGCCAAACUGCCUAAAGAGGUUGUUUCAUGAGAAUUGGUCACUUACCUACCUGAAUUGGUCAGCAUUAUAAAUGAGCUGAAACCUGAUAUAAACACAAACAGAGACAACGAUUCAACUGCUGGUGAAUCCCAGACCCGUGGCCCAGAGACCAGCACAGACAUAUCCCAGGAGGACACACAGACUUUGAAGACUGUCACAGAUGAAGAUUCAAAUGCUGGUGUAUCCCAGACCCACGGCCCAGAGUCCACCGGAGACAUAUCCCAGGAGGACACACAGACCUUGAAGCCUGUCAUAGAUGAACACUCAACUACUGGUGUAUCCCAGACCUACAGCCCAGAGUCCACUGGAGACAUAUCCCAGGAGGACACACAGACCUUGAAGCCUGUCAUAGUUGAACAUUCAACUGCUGGUGUAUCCCAGACCCACAGCCCAGAGUCCACCGGAGACAUAUCCCAGGAAGACACACAGACUUUGAUAGAAAACAGCACCGCCACAGGACUCAGGUUGUCCACUGCAAAGCAUGCUGAAAAAGAAACAAAGUCCAUAGCAGCCAUGUCUACCUAUUUACCAUCCUCCACUUUCCGGGAAGACUCAAAUGCUUAAAGAAGCCUAUCAUAUACUACAAGAGAGUGCGUGAUUGUAGAAACGUAGUGAAAAACCAGAUGUACUCAGCAGAGGAGAAACAUCAAGGAGUUGAUCGUGGAUGAGUGUAGUAUAUCGUAGAUGCACAAGAGGGGCAUUUCUUAGUUCCAUCCUAUUUAAUAAGGGCU